rnacentral:lncRNA from 1 species
GAAUUUUUGUGAAAUAUUCAAAGUUUAUAUGGUUCUAUAUUUAUGAAAAUUUGCAGAUAUAAUUUUAUAUGCUCUUUAAUACAGAUCACAAAAAAUUAUACAAAAUUUUUACAAACAAAAAUUGUUAUAAAUAUUAUGAUAAAAAACAGUUAUCAAACAGAGAUAGCCAAAGUGAGUUAGUAAGUAAUGUGGUCACCUCUUGCAGCAAUACAUGCUUCACAAUGACAUUGCAUUGCAUACUAUCAAUAAGAUUAUCCAGUUUCUCUAGGUAUUAAUGCCCACUGCUGAACUAAGGCACUUUUAAGAUUUUGAAGGGUCUGUGGAGGGGGCUGAAGAGAAACAUGUCUAGAGCAAACUAUGUAUGUUCAAUUGGGUUGAGGUCAGAAGUACGUGCUAUCCAGUGCAUACAUCUGCUAUUGUUCUCUCGAUAUUGUUCAACCAUUCUGAUACAAUGAGGACAAGUAUUAUUUAUCUUGUAGAAUAAAAUUAAUUCUCUAUUUCAGCUCUUUUUAAAUUGUAUAUUUACAAUUUAAAAAGAGAUUCUAUGAUAUCCCUAUAUUGUGUAGCAUUCAAGGAGACAUUUUGGAUGUAUAUAAAGAUUUGUGUGACUACCCAAAGAAAUGCUCAGCCACACCAUAAUGCUAUCACAAGUGUCCCUUUUGGAGAUAUUUGAAGGAUUUUAAUGAUUUCUUAGUUCUUUUCAGGUAACCCUUUGGAAAAAGUCACUUUAUAGAGCAAAUUGGGAUUCAUCUGUGAAGAAAAGCUCCAUUGAGUGCACAUUCAAGUAACAUGAGACUUGUGCCAAUUGAAACACUUUUAUGAUGAGGGUGAAGGGUAUGCAAACAAAGAUCAGAAACAGCACUACAGAAGGAACAUCAAACACAUGUGCAAUUAAAAUAACCUUAUAAGAGUGCUUUCAAUUUUAUUAAAUCCUCCUCAGAUACAUUCAAAACUUUAAAACUUGUAGAUUCCUUCUGGAAUAUUAACUAGUAGUCACCAUAGUAACACGAAAUUAAACAAUUAAGUACACAUGUACUAAUUUAAUAAACUUUAAAGUAUAAAUUUUUAACAAUAUUAAUGGAUUAUAAUAAAUAAUAACAAGCUUACAAUUUGGAUAUUAAAACAACAACAAACUACAAAUUCCUUCAACACACUUACUUUGUUAAUGCUAACUAGUUCUCCUUAUAUUAUGCAUCAUUGCCAAAUACAGCUAACAACUGAUGGGUCCACACAAUUAAC